rnacentral:lncRNA from 1 species
GCCGUUUACGUUACUGGUAGAGAGGGUUCGGCCGGUGCUUUCGCUCCAGGACUUCUGACAGCAUACUGACAAUACAACGAAACAAUAAAUUCAAUAAGUGACAGGAAUAAGAAAAAACUAAAAUGACAGUGAUGACGAUUUGCCAAGCAAUGUAUUUGCUCAUAUAACAAAUGACCAAAAUUCAUAAAACAGUUUCAUAUUUAAUAGACAAAGACAACAUAUGAAUACAUAAAUAUCGCGGUAUCUCCAUGUGAAUUUAUCAAUUCAGAAUUUCAAUACACUUUCGAACUUCCCCUUUUUGGACAAACGAUGCGGUGAAAAAUACCCAUACAAGUUAACCAUUUCAAAGAAGCGUUUGGCCUUAGUGCUAUCUAAUUGAAUAAAAUAAAAUACUAGAAUUUUGAGGUGUCCGUUUACUUUAAAUAUUGAGAGCUGUACACUAUUCGUUUUUAACUAAAUUCAAUCAAUCAAGUUGUGACGUCAACCUUCCGAGACAAAAUAAUUAUACCCACUGGUUCCCACCGACUUUGUUAGACUAGAACAUGAAUCUCAUUAUUCUAUGACUAGGGAACAAAAAUCGAUCCAGUAAAAAAAAC